rnacentral:rRNA from 1 species
AUUGAACGCUGGCGGCAGGCCUAACACAUGCAAGUCGAGCGAGUGGCGGACGGGUGAGUAAUGUAUGGGGAUCUGCCCGAUAGAGGGGGAUAACUACUGGAAACGGUGGCUAAUACCGCAUACUAUCGGAUGAACCCAAGUGGGAUUAGCUAGUUGGUGGGGUAAAGGCUCACCUAGGCGACGAUCUCUAGCUGGUCUGAGAGGAUGAUCAGCCACACUGGGACUGAGACACGGCCCAGACUCCUACGGGAGGCAGCAGUGGGGAAUAUUGCGCAAUGGGCGCAAGCCUGACGCAGCCAUGCCGCGUGAAUGAAGAAGGCCUUAGGGUUGUAAAGUACUUUCAGCGGGGAGGCGUUACCCGCAGAAGAAGCACCGGCUAACUCCGUGCCAGCAGCCGCGGUAAUUC